CAGCCGCUUGGUGAGUACAGAGCAAACUAUUCUUUUGCAUUUUACUAAAGAAUACCGUGUAGUCGCCACCAUAAUCCGACAUACGCCAAUUUUUUAAGGGUCUUUCUCGACAGGGCG